GUGCCCGCUGCCAGACGCGCGGGGCCCGCAGCCCUCCCGGCCCGCUCCGCUCCCCUCACCUGCCGGGGCCGCCGCCCCCAGCCCCGCUCCGGCCGCGGCCCCGCUCCGAGUGACAGCGCUCACCGCUUUCGCUUUCCCUUUCCUGGCCAAGGAGGGGCGGCCCCGGCUGCCGGCCGCCCUCGGGGAAAGGUCUGGGGGAGCAGGGGCGGGGGAGCCCGGGGGGACCGGCCCGGAGCCGGGGCUGCGAGCGAGCGGCUCCCCCUGCCCGCCUCUCACACAGCGGGUUUGUCCCUUCCCCCGGGCCCGGCCGCGAUUGUCGGUGGAGAAGCGCUUGGGCUGGGCGCCGGAGGGACCAGAGGGGUUCAACAGACGUGUACAGAUGUGGCACUUGGCGACGGGGCUUAGAGGUGGGCUUGGCAGUGCUGGGAAAUGGUUGGACUGGGCGAUUUUAGAGGCCUUUUCCCACCCGAACGAUUCUGUGAGUCCCUGUAGAUAGGGCAGACCCAGCUCCCACAAGGUCAUUUACCUUGUGGGAUUUGACGUGAAGGUACUUGGGAUGGUGGGAGUGACUUCUUCAUGGGAAAGCAGCAACCCCACUACAGGAGAGCUCCCUCUGACCAAUGCCCUCUCUGCAAAUGAGAGCAGGAGCUAUAUGAACUCUGGCGGCUUGGAUAAAGCUAUCAGAACACUGAAGAGUUCUUAUGGCUAAGAACAAUUAAUGGAUAAAUCAAAAGGAAAUUAAGUUGGUUCACCCCAAGGGCAAAGAACCUUCCAGAUGGUCACAAUUAAGAUACUUCAAGAAGUCUCACUUCUAGCAGAAAGCCAGCACUGACACAGCCAAGGGGAGAAAAGCUGGGACUCUCAGAAGUGCUUUGCAGGAGCAAGGAACAUCCUCCUCAGCUGGUCUGCAAUACCCUCCUGCACAGCUGCUCACUCCAGGAGGCAACAGCUGCUACCAGGAAUGCUCACUCAGUGACUGCAGGCUUUUACGGUAUUUUCUUCAGGAAUUUAAUCAAUUACCCGGUGUUCUUGGACAGUUGCUGCUUAUCACUCAUUAUUUACCUUGCCUCGAAGUAAAGCUGACCUAGGAGCCAGCACACUUGUAGUUUGUUAGAAGUCAGGCAAAGAGUCAAGUGACACAGAAGCAUUUGUUUCUGCACAAGAAUUUCUGGAAUGCUGCUCCCAGGAUCUGUUCAGAAGAAUGACCCCAAACGUGAGCACCCCCAGCUCUCCCAGCCCGGCUGCAGAGCAGAGGGGCUCCAGCCCUCAGAGCAUCUCCAGGGCCUCUCUGGACUGGCUCCAGCAGCUCCGGGUCCUUCUGAUAUUGGGGAUCCCAGAGCUGGACACAGCAUGGCAGGCCCUAUUUGUGCUCCACUGCUGGUUUGUGAUUCAUCACCUGCUGGACCUCAACUGGCUUGAAAUCUCUGGAGUCAAAAUUCUGCAGUUGCUGCUCUCCAGCUGCACAGGCUCGAGGGACUCUCCAGUCAUAAGCUCGGGUGGCUCCUCCAUCCCAAACACACAUUCCAAAUGAGGAAGGCAAAGGGCCAGCCAGAUUUCUGAGAACCUCUCUGCAGCAUAAACAUGCUUCCUAAACCCUCAAGAGGCUGUAAGCCUUCUGCUUUCCAGCUCUCAGAUAGCAGACAUAAGAAAGCAUAAACACACCACUGAUGCAGAGGAGUUCUGCACUGAUCUUUUGGCUACAAUGUUACUUUUACCUUAGAAAGGAAAGAGAUGGACAGGAAUUCUCCAUGUUCAUCAAGCUCAUUUUCCUCUGAUGGUCAGAAAGUUAGUAUGUUUUUGAAAGCUGAUGUGCUAAUGUCUCUAAAUGCACACCACAUUCUCCAGCCCACCCUGCUGCAACAUCAGCAUUUCUACUUGUCCAGCAUUUCCUGGAAUAAAAUCCCUAUUUUUGCCCCUGCCUUCUGCUCUUUCACUAUUCAACCCCAUUCAGAGACAGAAAACCCAUCAGUGUUUCUUUCCAAGAACAAGAGAGAAGAUUCCAGAAACAGUGAUCUAGGGCAGAUGUUGGAGCCAGAGUUUAUUUUCUAUUCUCCUGCUGCAGUGCUGGCAAUAGAUGAGUUCUCAUGGCCACGGCAUGAGAAAGAAGAAGAAGAAAAAGGAAAAUAUGUAUUCUAACAAAGAUCCAGAGGAAAAGGUAUCAGAAGGAGUGUGUUUUCUUGGCAUUCUUCUUCUGUUCCAGUAAGGCCAGGAUG